CCUACGGGGUGCUGCAGUGGGGAAUAUUGGACAAUGGGCGAAAGCCUGAUCCAGCCAUGCCGCGUGUGUGAAGAAGGCCUUCGGGUUGUAAAGCACUUUCAGUGGGGAAGAAAGCCUUGGGGCUAAUACCCUCGAGGAAGGACAUCACCCACAGAAGAAGCACCGGCUAACUCCGUGCCAGCAGCCGCGGUAAUACGGAGGGUGCGAGCGUUAAUCGGAAUUACUGGGCGUAAAGCGCGCGUAGGCGGUCUGAUAAGCCGGUUGUGAAAGCCCCGGGCUCAACCUGGGAACGGCAUCCGGAACUGUCAGGCUAGAGUGCAGGAGAGGAAGGUAGAAUUCCCGGUGUAGCGGUGAAAUGCGUAGAGAUCGGGAGGAAUACCAGUGGCGAAGGCGGCCUUCUGGACUGACACUGACGCUGAGGUGCGAAAGCGUGGGUAGCAAACAGGAUUAGAUACCCUGGUGUC
rnacentral:rRNA from 1 species